GUUAUAGGGAAAACCCCAAUUCCUGAGACGUGGAUGAGGGCGCAUUCUAGUCUGUGAUUCCGAAACCAGCCAUGAUUCGCUGUGAGCUUCCCACCCCUGUGCUGGAAGGCGCCAAGUUCUGAACACCUGUGGCCUCCUCGUGGCCUCCAGGUCCUCUGCGGGAAACACCCAGCGUCCUUUGUCUGACCAACUCCUACACGUCAAUCACCGGCAAUUCGGACGCCACCUCUUCAGGAAAUUUCCCUGAAUCUGCAGAAAGUUACUCCUUCCCUGAGGAUGGAUGUCAGUUGCUGGAUUCGUGAACCUUCCCUUUGCCUUCAGUCCCACCAGUCUAUGGUCCAAACAUAAGAUCCUUUAAACUCCCGUAUGAGCCCUCCAGUGGGAGCUUCCGCAUAAGCUGACCGUGAAACCUCUGGAGCCAAGGAUGUCUUUAAAUCUAGAUGGUCUUGCCUCAGCCUCUCUGGUACUUGAGAUGACAGACUUGCACCACCAGAGACAAUCAUCCCNNNNNNNNNNUCUUACUAUGUAACCCUGACUGGUCUUAGAACCCCUGUGUAUGCUAGGCUGGCCUUGACCUUAUAGAGAUCCGCCUGCCUCUGCCUCCCAAGGGUUGGGAAUUAAAGGCGUGCGCCACCACU
ensembl:processed_transcript Gm15545 predicted gene 15545